rnacentral:rRNA from 1 species
UGGGGAAUAUUGCACAAUGGGCGCAAGCCUGAUGCAGCCAUGCCGCGUGUGUGAAGAAGGCCUUCGGGUUGUAAAGUACUUUCAGUCGGGAGGAAGGUGGUAAGGUUAAUAACCUUAUCAAUUGACGUUACCCGCAGAAGAAGCACCGGCUAACUCCGUGCCAGCAGCCGCGGUAAUACGGAGGGUGCAAGCGUUAAUCGGAAUUACUGGGCGUAAAGCGCACGCAGGCGGUCUGUCAAGUCGGAUGUGAAAUCCCCGGGCUCAACCUGGGAACUGCAUUCGAAACUGGCAGGCUAGAGUCUUGUAGAGGGGGGUAGAAUUCCAGGUGUAGCGGUGAAAUGCGUAGAGAUCUGGAGGAAUACCGGUGGCGAAGGCGGCCCCCUGGACAAAGACUGACGCUCAGGUGCGAAAGCGUGGGGAGCAAACAGG